AACGAACGCUGGCGGCAUGCUAACACAUGCAAGUCGAACGAAGCCUUCGGGCUUAGUGGCGCACGGGUGCGUAACGCGUGGGAAUCUGCCCUUGGGUUCGGAAUAACAGUUAGAAAUGACUGCUAAUACCGGAUGAUGUCUUCGGACCAAAGAUUUAUCGCCCAAGGAUGAGCCCGCGUAGGAUUAGGUAGUUGGUGGGGUAAAGGCCUACCAAGCCGACGAUCCUUAGCUGGUCUGAGAGGAUGAUCAGCCACACUGGGACUGAGACACGGCCCAGACUCCUACGGGAGGCAGCAGUGGGGAAUAUUGGACAAUGGGGGCAACCCUGAUCCAGCAAUGCCGCGUGAGUGAUGAAGGCCUUAGGGUCGUAAAGCUCUUUUACCAGGGAUGAUAAUGACAGUACCUGGAGAAUAAGCUCCGGCUAACUCCGUG
rnacentral:rRNA from 1 species